UUUUUUUUUUUUUUUGUGUUUGAAGUUUUUGAAAAUUAUUUAUCAAUGCUAUAUAUGGUUUAUUUGGAUUUAGUUUGGUGUUUUUAGCAUCAUAUGAAAAACUAUUAUACUUGUGAAAAUUGAACUGUUGAUGCUGAAAAAUGGUUAAUACUCGCUUGUUAAAAUUGGCGAGAUGAAAUAAGAAUUGAGCAGAGUAUAUAGAAUCUAACUCUUAUGUUUAAAUGAUGCUCUAUAUGAAAUUGCAGGCCUUUCCCAAAAAGAAUUUCAGUAGUAUUUACUGAGAAUUUUUGAAACUAAAUAUUUAAGAGCUAAAAAAAUAAUAACUUGCAAAAAUUAGAAGGUGAUGAUUUUUUACGUUGUUUGGGUAAUAAACCUUAGUUCAUGAGUCAUUCUAUCAGCCUCUAAGGGCAAGUAUUGAUGUGUGUUUACAGUAUUUUUGCAGGAAACCCUAACUCUUUACCCUUAGUUUCUUUUCGAAGAACAAGAUCAAUGGUAAUUACAAAGAGUUUUAGUUAUGUGUUUCGGCUCGCCCCCUUUGCAUGAGAAUAAUGGGGUAUUUAUAGGCUAAGUGGCGGGUAUGGACAGACCUAUGACCUGCCUAAGAUUUCUACUUAAAUCCCUCUGUUGGGAUAAAUUACAUGCAAUGUAAAGUUGACUAGAUGAUCCUGUGGGUAGCAUUGUGCCCGUGCGUGCAAUAGCUAAAUAAUGGGGACCAUUUUGUUUCACUUGGACACGUGUCACUCAAAGGUUCAACCUUUAAAAGCAGGGAACACGUGUCGCUCAAAGUUCGCUCCUUUACAAGCAGCAGUCCGUAAUGUCCUAGUAUGGUGGUUGUGGUACCCGCACUAUCAUGCUUGGAUGUAGGAGACAAGAUCUGAUUCUGUCAAGAAAAGCAUAAGGUGACCUGGCGUGUGUAAAAAGUCGACGUCCGCAACGCCUCAUGAAGGUCGAUAUCCGCUUUAGGUUUUUCUACUAUCUAUCUGGACUUAAGCUAAGAGAGCUCCAUUAGACCCUUCCAAGUCUAGGGGAAACACUUCGCCUUCCAUAUUAGGGAAGUAAAGGCAAGCGUGAGUAGUCUUCUGCAUGCUCUUUCAUUCUGGAUGCUUCUUAGUUUGGGGAAGCCCUUCAGCAAUGGAGCAGUAUUAAAAGACUUUAAUCAAAGGAGGAUUAAUUUCGCCUUCUCCAUUAAAUGCCACGUGCCAUAUCUUGCAGAAACAAAGAUAACAUUUACCCCAAGCUCUCAGUACGUAAUGCGGUCUGGGAGCUUGCAAUAUUCUCCCGCUUAUGCAUGACAAACUCUUGACAUGUGGUGCUGGUUGGAAUCGCUUCUCAUCCCACGAGCUGUCGUCAGUUGACAGGUCAAUAACCGCAGGUAUUACUAGCAUGGCACAUGGACAUCGGUUUCUUGGGAGUUGUUACAUAGAUGACAAGUUGAUUGAGAUGACCUUUCUUUUAAUAAACACAUCACACGAGGCAUGCAAUGAUGAAUGUUUAAUGUUUGGGCUGAUCAUUGAAUCCAACCUUUUCAAUUGCAAAGACUUCAGCCGGCGUAUAAAUAAGUUUCGAGAGCCUAUUCACUCUCUUUUCAUCACUUUCAACCUACAGAAGUCCCUCUGCAUUCUUCGAGCUAGAGCUCAUAAAUCCUGAUUUGCUCCAUCCCUUGUCAGACGAUAACUGCUACAAUUGCGCGAUAGACGGGGUUUAACACACUUGAGCCAACUCGCAUGGCAUCCUUCUCUAUUUUGUACUUCAACACUCUGUUGACUUUGUGCAAUUCUGUAUCUAGGAUAGAAAUGCUAAAUUCAAGCUGGGUUUAGUACAUACUGCAUGUUUGAUUGAUAGAAUGUUGUUUGUAGAAACACAUCGUUAGACAUCAAAGGGCCUUUUCGCCAUCGUCCCAGUUGGGCCGAUGGUAGACAUCAAGGCUCUAAAGAAGUGACUGGCGGCCAAGGUGGGGCCGAUCGUACCCUUUGCUGCCGAUCUCUUAAACCAAAUGGCCAGUAGCGCAUUCGUACUGUCCUUAGAGACAUGAGCAACUUGCAGUAGCGUUGAUCCUUUUUCUCGCUAUUGUAUAUUGUUUUCUUACAUUUAAUUGCUUUAUCAUGUGGCCUUGAUGGCAAAGAGAGUCACUAAAGAAGUAGGCACCCUAGUCAUGGAGCUUGAGCAUGCUAACGUCAAGAAUCACCAGCUGCAUGCCACUAACAGGGCCCCACUGGUUGAGCUUGGGGAAGCCGAAUCUUAGAUUGCUGUCAAGGUGGACAACCCUAAGAAGGAUACUGAGGAGAGAAUUAAGAGUGUGCUGGAUGAGAACGAGGCUUUGAAGAGGGACCUCGAGGACUUGAAAAAGGAAAAAAGAGUUGUUGGAGGUCAACUAUAACCAGCAAGGUAUCCUCAUAAUCAGUGACCAUCACAUAGAAACCAUAGAGAGGAUGCGAAGGGAAGCCUCCCAUCAACCAUCCAGCAACACUCUGAGAUUUGAAGCUUGAAUUAUCAGCUGAGGUAGUGAUUUCCUCCGGGCUUGCGAUCCAAAACUUCUUGGAGCUUCGAAAGGUCUGGCCUUUGUACUUCUCAAUCUCAACCAAAGAGUGACUCUCCUCAACCAGUUCUCUUCUUUUUUUUUUGUUUGCUUUAAUUUUGGUUUUGCGAAAACAAUUUUAACUGUACCCUAACCGUGGGGCUGUUUGUGGUUUUUAGAAACAUUUGCUUUGCUUAUGCAUGCCCUCUUUACUUCCAUGCUUAAUGUUUUCUUCUUGUGCCGCUCCAUAGUUUACUUUUAGGAUUUUUCAAAGUUUUUGGUUCCCACGGUCAAAACUUGUCAGUUUUGAUCUUUCUGACUUUGUAACUAUCUUGUUGAACCCUUUGAAGUAUGUGAAACUACAUAUUCUGCAGGUGCCAACUUCUAUCAAAGUUCUCGUCGUGGCGAUUUACAAGCUUUUGGCGAAUCAACCUUUCGCGGAGGAAUUGUAAAUUGUGUCCCCAGACCGCUACAAGAGUCGCGGAGCUUACCUCCCGUCUACAUUUUUCUUGGUUAAUUUCCUUAAGCAUGAUCCUGUAGCAAACUUAUGUUAUUUGGAUUAGUGAGGGAAGGAGGACCAAGCAUGCAACCAAGUCUUAGCCAGGUUCUUUUCAGGGAGACAAGGCUGUCUUUAAGCUAACGUUUUAGACUAUCCUUUCUCGAUCUAAAGUAACAAAGCUGACUUAGCAUUAGACAAACUUUUUCGAAAUUUGUAAUAAUAGAGCUGUUGGGCCACGGAGGGCUUCCAAGCGUGCUUCUUUUUUCUCACUCCUCGUAGGAAACUUGUAAGCGUGGUCAAUAGACCAAGGCGACUGCAAUAGCAUUUCGAACAAUGUUCCCUUUUCAAGGAUUAUGUUAAAAACAUAUUGGUUGUGCCUUUCGCGAGAACCAAGUUGGAUAUGCAGCAGAUUUCAAGCGGUUCUUCCUUCUAGGAAGGAGGGUUGACUACGCAUUGGAAUCCCCAAUAGCUUAGCCAUUUUGACAAUUUUUGAAGUAAAGUACAAUUAUAAAAUUAAAUGUAAAUAUGGAUAGGAAAGCAAUAAUUUAGGCACUUGUAUGUUUUUGAGGGCCCAUAGCUAGGUAUACUCCCCCCGAGUGAUCUAGGAAGUUUGGACGUCUCCAAAUUCGUGGUCACUUGUUUAAAACAUAACUUGGCCGGAACAAACAUGUGAACUCUUGCGCAAGUUUCUUUUUUUUUUUUUUUUCAUUUCAUUAUACUCGAAGGUUCACAUUAAGAAAGAAAGUUUACAAAAAAUUCACAAACAACUGUAGGGGAGUGUCAUAUCUGGAUACCCCCAGCCUAUUAGUAAUAACGGCACAAAUGAUCUGCAUUGUAGGUGCGAGGGAUUUAUGAUCCAUCCAUUCUCUUAAGUUGAAACGUUCCCUCUCCUACUUUGUGCUGUAUCUUGUAGGGUCAUUCCUAGUUAGGUCCUAAGACCCCCACUUCUGACUCUUGGGAAGUUGGGAAGACUCUUCUCAAAACAAGAUCUUUAACGUCAAAUGUACGACUUCUAACUUUAGAAUUAAAGUGCAUGGCAAUCUUGCCCUAGUACAGCUUGAUUUGAACUUGUGAUUGUUCUCGGAGUUCUUCAAUUGGGUCUAACGAUUCUUGGAGGAAGAAAUAGUUCCAGGUUGGGUCAUAAGUGUUUGGUCUGUGAGAAGGGACCGUGGUUUCUACUGGGAUGACCGCUUCAUAUCUAUAGGUCAUCGAAUAUGGUCUAUGCCAUGUUAAAGUUCUCUUCGUUGUUCUGUAUUCCCAGAGAACUCACGGAAGCUCCUCCGGCCAAUGAGCUUUAUAAGCUUGGAAUUUCUUCCUCAACGUUGUCUUCAAGAUCUUGUUCACAACUUCGACUUGUCCAUUUACUUGUGAUUUAGCCACAGUUGAGAAGCUCUUCACGAUUUCGUGUUGAUUACAGAAGUGGGUGAAGAGAUCACUGUCAAACUGCUUCCUGCUUCCCAUUGUCUAUGUUGGUGGAGUGAUCACUAUCAAACUGCUUCUCAUUGUUUGAGGCAAUCUUGUGUGGAAGUCCGAAGCGACAUACUAUAUUUUUGAUCACAAAGUCCAUGGCCUUUUUGGAGGUAACCGUAUUCAUGGGUUCUGCUUCUACCCACUUGGUGAAGUAGUUAACAACGACUAUGGCGUACUUGACUUCACCCUUCCCAGUAGGAAGGGAUCCCACUAAGUCAAUUCCCCAGACAGUGAAGGGCCAUGAACUGCUCAUGAUUGUGAUUUUCGUUGGCGGUGCGCGCGGAACCUUGACAUAUCUCUGACAUUGCUCACACUUCCAGACAUAUUCUAUGCAGUCUUUCUUCUUGAUAGGCUAGAAGUAGCCUUGCCGAAGGAUCUUUUUAGAUAGGCUUGGUCUGGAAGUAUGAUCUCCACAGAAGCCUCCGUGAAUCUCAUGUAUGAUGGCACUUAUUUCGGUCCCGGCCACACACCUAAGGUAGGGCACAGAUAAUUCCUUGCAGUAAAGCCUUCCAUCUAAAAUCACAUAUAGGGGGGCUUGGUACUAAAUCUUGUGAGAAGCAUCCUUAUCUGGAGGUAGAUGGGCCAUAUCCAGGAGUUGGAAUGAUCAACGAUGGCAUUUACCCCUGUGUUUUGAUGCUUGACGCUUCAAGACGAGCAACAGGUACUACUCCAUAUUGAAUGAUCUUUGGGUUUGUAGUAAGUUUUGCCAACAUAUCCGCGAACGAAUUCUGAUCCCCAGGGACUUGACAGAUGUUGUAGCCUUUAAACCCUUGCAACAAUUCUCGGGAGACCAUUACAUAGGUAUCCAUCCUUUUGCCUUUGGUCUGAUAUUCCCCAAAUAUCUUAUUUACCAAUAACUGGGAAUUACUGUGCACUUCAAUGUGUUGGGCUCCAACUUCUUUGGCCAACUGUAAGCCUACUAGCAUGGCUUCGUGCUCGGCUUCGUUGUUGGAGGUAAAAAAUCUAAAACGAAGAGCGCUUUGUAGCUGGUGUCUUUGCGGAGAGAUUAAUAUAACUCCCGCUCCAGCUCCCUUUUCAUUGGAUGCUCCAUCAACAUAUACUUUCCAAGUGGGUAACUCUAGGACUGGCUCGUCCGGGAGGUCACCUACCCUGGAGCAUUCUAUCACGAAGUCAGCUAGGGCUUGACCUUUGAUUGACCCCCGUGGCUGAUAUUGGAAGUCGAAUCGGCUAAAUUCCUUUGAUUUAUUGGUGAAAAAUACAUGAAUUUAGUUUUCCAAAACAAUAAAGAAUAAAUUGGAAAACUAAACUAGUUUCCUAUAAUCUCUUAUCAGUGUGUGUCAAUUCCACAAAAUAGAGAUUUUAUAUGAAUAAUUAAAUGAAGAUAUAUUUAUUGAAAAUAUCAUUGAAAAUCUUAUUCAGUCGCGUUAUCCUGCUUAGAGGAUCUGGCUUCACUAGAUAAUAAAGAUUUGUGCAGACAAUCAAGUACAAACUUAUUAGUUUUAAGUAUAGAAUGCUCUGGCCGGGCCGUGGAGAGAAAAUUACUCGUCCAGAGUUCUCACUAUUCUCCAUGUGUCACCAUGCUGGAUGCCACAUCUCUUUGUGCGGAAUUUGAGAUAACACCCAACUUUUCCUCAAUAGCCUCUUAUAGUUCCGGUUCUACAUCUUUAUCUUGUAUAAGGAUAAUCUUCAAUAUAAAUUUUUUACACUGAUGUCAUAUUAGACCACUUCCUGUCACACUUGAAACAAACAUAUUACACUUUUUUCUUUUUCUCUCACUCCAGCCUUUCAUUAAUGGCAAAACCCCAGAUUUGUAUAGUGAAGAAAAGGGUAUUGAAGGAGUGACAAAAGUGCUCUUGGACCUUAUUCCACCACAAGUAGUAAAUGAUCAGCGGGGUGAUUAGAGACCAAUAACAUGAUUGGGGUUAGCUUCAAUAAUUCGAGCUAAUUCCAUUGUCUUCUCGACACUCGAUGACUCCAAAAUACAGAGCUCAUUUCAUUAUCCCACCACAAGUAGUAAACUCCUCUAACAACAACCCAAAUUGAUUGACAAAUAUAGUUCGCAUUCAAUUAUUAAAUGCUGUCACAAUUGCUAACAAACUGCAAAGAAAGUCCUUUGCAAAGAGAACCAAUGAGAUGUUAGUCCCAUCGGUUUCUACAACACAAAUGAACAAAUAACUGGGAGUGACCAAACAACCAAACAUGCAGCAUUUAACAGUAAAUUAGUUUAAAAGACUAGUGCCCUAUUCACAGGUUGAUUAAACUGUUAUGUUAAUAGAAGGUUUGGCAAUAUGUUUAUUAUAUAAUGACAGGAAGAUAGGAAAAAAGCUAAAGGAAUUCUAAAGUUUCAAUAUGGAUUGCUGUUGAGAUCAUACGUGAUUGUAUAAUUAAGAAGAAGAAGAUGGAACACAACUGCAUAUAGGAUUCCUCAUAAAAUAUUUGCUAAAAGAACAGAAAGAAUAAAGAAUUAGAAUGUUAGUUAACAAAGAUCAGAUUUAUAUGGUGGUAUUGCUCCUUUAUUAUUGAACCAAUCUAAAUGAUCAAAGAGAUUGAUAGACAAAAACAUAAUGAACAUAAAAUAAACUCAUAUUUGACUAGUGACUAAUGUAGAGAAACAAAGAUUGAUAUUAAAGAUCGAUGUAAAUGUACUUUUCAAGAAAACAAACAACCAAAAUAAAUAAAAUAUAUAACAAACCAACCAAGCCAAUCCAAGGACAACCAGUACAAUGUCUGAUGAGGAGAGUGGAAUAAGAUGGAUGAGAGAAGUAGAAUAAACGUAUAAGAGAUUAUAAGUAAACCUGGUGGUCCUGAACGGGUGUCAAUGGCGGAAAUAAUCAUCAAUUUGAGAUGUCCCUUGAUGCGAAGAACAUUGGUAACUCUGAAGGCCUUACUGUUGGUAGUAAGUGACUUAUUGCAAAUAUUGAUUGAUGUGAGCAGUUACAGUUAUUCUUACAGAGAGGAGUUUAAAAAAUAACCGCUCCAGAGCAAAGUUUUUUGAGGGUCGCGAUACUGUGGAGCUAAGUAGAAAGCGAGACAAGUGAUAGUAGAAACCGCAACAUAGUUAGAACACAGAGAUCUCCAAGCAGUGGCUGUAUAAUCCUCUUCCACUUGUUAUAGGCCACACAUGUUCCCUUCAUUUCUAAAUUUUAAAUUUCCUGUAGUAUUUUGUACCAUGUUUAUUUUGUUAGCAUAUUCCAUUUUGAAGAGUUUAAAGGUGUAGCCUGACGUCAUAUUACGCAAGACAACAGUGCAAUUGGUUUUGGUGCUUGGUGAAGAAAUAAGACGCCUGUGGGAGAUGGUCUUAUGCAUCAUAUCAGGUUCAUCAGAUUUUGUUUUGUUUAUUUUCUUAGCUUUGUUCUUAUAGGCUCGUCUUUAUUUAACUGAACUGUAUUUGUGGGUGUGGGGGUUGAAGAUAGUUUAGUUUGAAACUUUAGUUGUUUAGAAUCCAUGAAUGCUUUGCAAUAAGCCUUCUAUUAAUUAGCCUUUAAAACCCCAUGUUGGAGUAAGAACAUUAAUAAUCUAAUCAUUAAUUGGGUGUUAUAGAUUUUGUGUAAUAUAUCUGUCAUUGGUUUUUAUUCAUAUUACCUCAACUUUUGUUCUGUGGAAGAAGCCAUUAUUGUCUUUACUUUCUAUUUGCAACAAUCUGUUGAUCUGCCAAAUAAAACAUGCCGUUUGACUGGGGCUUGGAGGUAAGGAAGACAGCCACAAUCUUUAAUUCAUUCUCUGGAAUUUCCAAUAAAGAUUAAACUUUCAUGCACAAUACUUACUACUUACACUCUCAUCUUGGCUGAGGUAUGCUUAUCCAUAACUGAUAGAUCGUAUUCGUAGUCAGACCAUGUCUUUUUAAAUGUAUAAAAAUCAUCUGUUUUGUUUUUUAGAUCAUAUCAUCCAUCCAUACCAGGAUAGGCAUAGGGGUGCAUUUUUUUUAAUUCCUCUAUCCCAUGCAUAUUGUUGUGUACUGUAUAUAUGAGUGUAGAGAUUGAAUCAUGAAUAUUUCUUACAAGUCCUUUAUGUUAUUUUGUUAUUACUGCUGUUUAUAUAAUUUAUAAAUAGCAACAGCAGGUUUUCAAUAGACCUGCACUCUCCUGUGCUGUGAUACCUACAUAUUUGGACUGGACUCUUAAUCAUAUUGUGCAUAAGUGUAAUAAUUAAGUAAAGGGUCUAACAAUAUACCAUGUCUUUAAUUACCCUCGUAGUUUGGUUGUCUCAUUGAUCUGCCUAAUCAUGUUGUGCAUGCUUGAUCAUGGUGCUUCAUUCUAAAGGCUCAAAGUAAGAAACAUGUAGAAGAGUACAGCAACACCAACCAACAAAAUCAACGAAUUGAUGAUCGUCCUACUACACUACAAAGCUACAUUAAGUUUUGAGUUUAACUGACUAAAGAGAAGACUGCAAUGCAGAGAAAAAGAGCAUGAGUGUUUGGAUUAUGACUCAGGAGGACACAUUUCGUAUACUAUAUUUCUGGACUUGUCGUAAUUCUUCUUUAUUUAUUUAUUUUGUAAUAACUGAAAGAUUUAUGAUCUUUACUUUCUUACAAAUUUCGUGUUUUCAGAUACCAAGUGUGAGACUAUAGUAACAUGACUUGGGAUUACUAUCAAUAGAUGUCACAAACUAUCAAAAUAAACUCGUAAAUCUCAAA